rnacentral:rRNA from 1 species
GUGAAUUGCAGAAUUCAGUGAAUCAUCGAAUCUUUGAACGCACAUUGCGCCCGUCAGCAUUCUGGCGGGCAUGCCUGUUCGAGCGUCAUUUCAACCCUCAGGACCCCCCUUUCGCGGGGAGGGACCUGGCGUUGGGGAUCGGCCCGCCCCCGCGGCGGCGCCGUCCC